GAGGAUAUAGCUCAAGUGGUAGAGCACAUGCUUAGCAUUCACAAUGUCCUGGGUUCAAUCCCCAGUACCCUCU
rnacentral:tRNA from 1 species